UUUAUGUAUGCUAUAACUCAUUACACAUAGCAGAGCACUGUAUUAGAAAGUUAUGGUCGGGCUGGAAAGAUGGCUCAGCUGUAAAAGGCUAGGCUCACAACCAAAAUAUA
rnacentral:miRNA from 1 species